UGCCUGAAAAUGCACUCGGAUGCCGCC
rnacentral:piRNA from 1 species